ACGGCUCAGUAACACGUGAUCAACUUACCCUAUAGAGAAAAAUAACCUCGGGAAACUGAGGAUAAUGUUUCAUAAUUGAAUUGGCUUGGAAAAGUUUUUCAAUGAAAAGGAUAAAAAUAAUGGUUUUUAUCUGCUAUAGGAUAGGAUCGUGUUCGAUUAUGGUUGUUGGUGAGAUAAUGGCUCACCAAGCCGAUAAUCGAUAGGGGCCGUGAGAGCGGGAGCCCCGAGAUGGGUACUGAGACAACGACCCAGGCCUUACGAGGCGCAGCAGGCGCGGAACCUCCGCAAUACACGAAAGUGUGACGGGGUUACCCAAAGUGUUCAAUAGAACUGUGGUAGGUGAGUAAUGUCCCCUACUAGAAAGGAGAGGGCAAGGCUGGUGCCAGCCGCCGCGGUAAAACCAGCUCUUCAAGUGGUCGGGAUAAUUAUUGGGCUUAAAGUGUCCGUAGCCGGUUUAGUAAGUUCCUGGUAAAAUCGGGUAGCUUAACUAUCUGCAUGCUAGGAAUACUGCUAUACUAGAGGGCGGGAGAGGUCUGAGGUACUACAGGGGUAGGGGUGAAAUCUUAUAAUCCUUGUAGGACCACCAGUGGCGAAGGCGUCAGACUGGAACGCGCCUGACGGUGAGGGACGAAAGCCAGGGGAGCGAACCGGAUUAGAUACCCGGGUAGUCCUGGCCGUAAACGAUGCAUACUAGGUGAUGGUACGGCCAUGAGCCGUAUCAGUGCCGUAGGGAAACCGCUAAGUGUGCUGCCUGGGAAGUACGGUCGCAAGGCUAAAACUUAAAGGAAUUGGCGGGGGAGCACCACAAGGGGUGAAGCCUGCGGUUCAAUUGGACUCAACGCCGGG
rnacentral:rRNA from 1 species